AAGAAUUGAUUUGGCUAUCUAUAUCACCAAAGUUGACUUACCUUUUCCGGAGCACAUCCUGAAAGAACUCCAGAGUUAAUCGUGCUUGAGCUGGAGUAGUAGAACGAUGGGUGACCUAUCGGGAAGUGAUUUGUGAUAGCGUGCGAGUGAGGCCAAAGCAUGGGAAAAGGUCGGGUGGUGAUUGCAGGGUCAGUAAACAAUGAUUCCAAGCCUUGGAAAAUAAACGGACCGACCGUCACCGGAUGGGGCCUACGAGCCGAGAGAGCGGGCGUGGGUGGCCCAUUAGCCGUGGGCGGGCCGGGGCCUUAUAAGUAGUAUCAGAACUGGUUAGCCAUCUCGGUUCUGACCUGAGAGAGGCGUCUUGAGACUUGUCAUGGGCCGCAACGAGGACGUUGCGUUCUUUUAGAGGAGGUGAAUUGUAACAUCCCGAGUUGUUAUAUGUGAAAAGGCUUAAGAGAAUUUAUUUGGCUACCUAUGUCACCAAAGUUGACUUACCUUUUCCGGAGCACAUCCUGAAAGAAAUUCAGAGUGAAGCAUGCUUGAGCUGGAGUAGUAGAAGGAUGGGUGACCUAUCGGGAAGUGAUUCGUGAUAGCGUGCGAGUGAGGCCAAAGCAUGCGAAAAGGUUGGGUGGUGAUUGCAGGGUCAGUAAACAAUGAUUCCAAGCCUUGGAAAAUUAACGGACCGACCGUCAGACGGGAUGGGGUCCACGGGUCAGUAAAUUCUAAACUCACAGAUCAACCUAUAGCAGAAAGCGGAUCAUCAUUUGGAAUUUUGGUUUAAAUGUUAUGGACUUAUGGUUGUUUAUUUGGGACUGAUUUCUGUAGAGCGAGUCCACGAACAGUCAACUUCAUAAGCGUUUUCCUGUUUAUCCCGACUGUCUUAGAAAACGAGCGAGAUACUGUUGGAAAGGUCUCGUUGUCCGCUUUCCAGAUCAUUCUUCAGAUCGGCAAACUGAGGAAAGUUUCUUAUGGACCUAAGACAUUAAUUCUCGUGUCGCAGUUGACUGUAUCCUCCGUUGUCCAUUUCAUCCAGUGGCUAAGGUGAGGGUUAUUCCGUUUAAUCCCGUGCUAGUUUAGUACUACGAUUAUGGAAAGUUUAGUUUCGAAACAUGUUCCGUCUCUGUGAAUCGAGUCUAACUGGAGUCUUGUUUGUUUUUGUUUUAUUCUUUGUGUAAACCGGAGAUAGGGAAUUAGAUGAUUCAACUGUUGAUUGAUUUGUGUGAUAUUAAAAAACGGUUAUAUAUAAGUAUAUAUACGUAUAGUAUGGAUGGGUUAGCCGGAUACAGGGAAAUACUUCUGUAUCGGCCUAUUUGUGUGGAGAUUACGGGGAGUACAGGGAAGCACUCAUGUACCACGUAUAAGCUGCGGGAGUACAUGGAAGCACUUCUGUACUACGUGGCAAUUGUUUGUGCAGAGAUUGCAGGGCGUACAGGGAAGCACUUCUGUACCACGCAUGAGCUGCGGGAUUAUAGGAAAGUACUUAUAUACUACAUAGCAUUGUGUAUGAGGAGAAUGUGGGAGUACAUGUAAGCACUAAUGUACUACGCAUACUUUUGGUAUACAUGAAUAUUUAUAUAUCUAUAUCCGUAUGAGGAGAAUACGGGGUGCAAAGAAUAACUAUGUACUAUAAGCGUAUUGGUUGUUAUGUGUGGCAUAAUAGGUGCCGUGUUUGUUUCAUGUUAGAGCUAGGCCUACAUAGUCGUAGUGCUAUGUACUGAGUCAGUGGUUUGCGGCUUAACAUCCCAUAGCUCACUGAGUGACUCCCCUGUUGCUCACCUCUCCUUCCCAUUGAAGGUGAGCUUGCCGAGUAGUUGGAUAUCUGGACGGUUUGGUGUAUUUGGGAUAAUUGUAUUUAUUUAGGUUUUAAUUAAUAACAUAUACGAAUUUUAUAUUCGAUUUAUUUGACAUAUUUUUAUAAUUCAGUUUAAUGAUGUAUUUCUUUCGGAUUAAUUUUAUUAAAUGCUUUGGUAUUUGAAUCGGUUUGAAUAACACAGUUUAAUUCGAUAUUUUACUGGUAGUUACAUGUCAUUCUUGAAAGUGGAAGAGACGGGUGUUACAAUUUGGUACAUAUAUAAUACUAUAUUCUAUAUAUAAUUUGGGUGAGGGUAACAUGUUUUUUUGGUUGAACGUUAUUGGCAAUCCGAAUACAUAUUGGUUGGUUAAUGAGGUUUUUUAUAUUUUGGUGAAGAAUGUUGCUUGUGGGUAUUAAGAGUAUCAUUUGUUGAUACCAAAAAUUCAUGGAUUUGGUUUAAUCUUUUACAAAUACAAUACUUUUUCAAUGUCUAAGGUUUUGUUUCAGAAGAGAUUUGAUUGCAAUUUAUGCUAAAUCAUAUACUUUUAAGCGUUUUGUUUUGUUGAGUCUCCAGCAAUUAAAAAAUAAUAUAAAACAUAUGUUGUUUGAAUGAGUAUUUGGAAAUGUAAAUUCAUUCUUAGUUCUUUUUUGUCAAUGAUACAAAAUAAGAAAUGUCGAAUAAAACGUUAGUUAUUUAUGUUGAGGAAACAAAUAUGUUAGUUACAAUAUAACUUUCAUUAUUUAUUUUGUUAGAAAUAAAAAAAUUGUCUUAAUUAUGAUAAUAUCUGGAAUAAAACCUUUAGAACGUUAGUUGAUUGGAGUGUAAAUGGAUUAUUUAUUUUUGAUAGUUUUUAACUUCUGUGAUUUUAAUGCUUCCAAUUUUCUGUUACAAUUUCGCUAUUUAGUAGGGAUGUUAAGAAUGGGUAAAAACACAUGUUCUAAAACUCGGAUAACCCGGCCGAUUAACCGGCGAGUAUACGCAGUGCGGCCAACCACCAUGGCGAAUCGACCAUAAUCGGCAAUAAAAUCGGGACUUUGAAAACAUCUUGUUUUUGUUUCGAUUUUUGUUAAAAACUAGUACAUUUAAGUUAGAUCUACACAUAUUACAUAGAAUUGUGCGAACAAAUGAUGAAAAUAAUGAAAAAACUGAACACAAAAAUGGAGGCAGCUGGUUUUGCAGGUUACGUUCAUAUGGCAAAGUGAAAGGGAUGACUCAGCAAAUUGCCAUUUUACCCUUCUUUAAAUGAAAAAAAAUUAAAAUAAGCUAAAACAACAAAAUCCAGUCUUGAACCCGGAUGCUAACUCUAGACUUCAACACUUUUAAGCAUUUGAGCUAGACCGUUUCUUUGAUAUUAUACGAAAAUAAUAGUUUAUAUACACAUAUAUACAUAAAAUGAUGAAAAAUUAAUCUCCGAUUACUCUUCGAUUAAUCUCCGAGUUUUUGUUAACUCGUUAGGCCCGGAUGUGCCGCAUGGAUAGCGCCUAGCGAGUUCUUGAACAUGGGUAAAAACCCAUAGGGUACCCUAAACCUUAUUAAAAUUUCAAACCCAAAACCCGAAUUAUCUGUGUUUAAAACUCGCGGGUUUAGUUUGGGAGGGUCUUGAUUUGUAAAUUACCCUAUCAGGUUUACUACCCAAUCGGGUUUUUCUGGAAAAAAUAAAUUACUAAACAAAACGAUACUUUUUACCUUUGACGUUGUCGUCGUCUUCUCUCCUCUCCUUCUAUCGUUUCUCUCUCUAUUUGUCUAAUUCUUCAUCUUCUCUGUCCGGUAAAACGCUCUCUCCAAUCUCCAAUCUUCACAUCUCUCUUGUUAUCUUUAUUGUUUAUGUUUCUGGCCAACACUUCUCUAAUUGCUUCUCGAGUUAUAGGUCAUGGUUAACAUCACAAUUGCAAUGUUUGUGAGCUUAGUUUGUUGUUACUUAGCAGCGUAAUCCAAUUAUGUAUCUGAUCAUUAUGAUUUUGUCUUUGACUAGGUUUUAUCUUUGUGCUAUAGAUCAUUGUGAUUUUGCCUUUAAGUCAUGGCAUGUUGCAACGUUUAGUUCUUCUCCUUUUAGUAUCAUUCCUCUUUUCUAACACAAUUAUGAUCUUGGUACAUAAUAUAAUGACUUUUUGUAAGAAACGCAAGUGCGGAUGAUUAUGAGAUUAUAAGUUUUGGUUUUUUUUUUGAGGAGUUAGGCUUUUUUUUGAGCAAGAGAAGUUAACAUACUAAUUAUUGAAUUCCAAGAGUUCUUCUCUUUUCUUGUCUCAUAUCCUUUUAUUUUGUAUAUUACUUUGUUUCAUGUAAUAAAGCUUUUUUUUUCUUGAGUCGAUUACCAUUUAGGACACUUUUUUAUCUUUUUUAACACUUUAAGACACAAUCCGCUGGAGGGACACUUUCCUUGAAUCUGAGAGCUGUUUUGGACAGAAAUGCCCUUGCUCAGAAGAAACGGAAGAUGUGCUUAUGUUUGGGUAAGUAUAAAUUGUAACUUGUUUUUCUUAUUUCUCUUAAUGUUUCAUUUACUUUUAUUUCAAAUUCUAAAAUAUAUAAAACAAAAAUAAUUAUCACAUUAAAUUAUGUAUAAAAUUCUCUAUCUUUUAACAUCCAUUUUCAUAUAUAUAUAUACUAAUAUAUAUACAAAAAAAGUAUGGACAUGGAUAUCAUAGUGUGGAUAAUAUAGUUAUAAAUUAAUUGUGGACAUGGACACAAAACCAUAUUUAUUCAUACACUAUUUCAGUUUCUGAUUAAAUAAAUAUAUAAUAACCAUAUAAAAACAUGUUUCUUUUUUCUUAUUAUUUUGAUAUCCAUAUAUAUAUUUUUAUAUUUUAAUGUCUAACUAAAUUGCUAAAUUAUAAUUUAUUAGACAUAUGUUUUAUGGAUGUGGACACAAUAUUUUUUUUUUACAAAAUUCUAUGUUUUGUUUUCUAUUUUUUUAUUUAAAGAUGUAUAUGACCAAAAAAAUUAGUAUAACAAAGUGAUAUAUAUUUGUUAUUUAAUGAUAUAUACUUUUAUUGUUUUAUCUAAUUUUCUAUAUAUAUUUUUUAUAUAUAACUUAUAAGAAUAUAUGAAUAUGGAUUAUAAAAGUGUGAACGUAAGAUAUGUGGACAUGGAUAUAAAUGUGUAAAAGAGAAUAUCUAGACAUAUUAGUAUGACACACAAGUUGUAUCCACAUCAAAGUUUCUGAAAGAGAUCAUGUUAAAUGAUGUCCAUUAUCGAUUAUUUGUGAGCUAGUAGGUGUGGACAUGGAUUAGGAUAUAUUUAUAUGGACAUUGUAAUCAUGAAGAACAUAAUUGCAUAAAGCAUGUCUGUGGUGUAUACUUGAAAAUUUUGAUACUAAUUAGAAUACAAAUCUGCACAUUUAAAAAUUGAGGGUGAAAACAAAUACUUACAUAAAUAUAAGGACCAAAUAUGUAAAUUCAUCAUUCUUAUUGCAGAUCUAAUCGAGCUUUCACCCAUGGUGAUACCAAGCUCAAACCACUGCAGCUUCACCUAUAUAAUGGAUGAGACUUCGGAAAUGAGUUGAGCAAGGCGAGGAGUCAACUUGAGCAGCAGAUCUCGUGGUGGCGGAGGAUUUCGACGAGCUCGAACCCCCAUGGCUUCACUGAGCCACCGAGCUCACCGAUGCGAUGUUGAGCUCGAAAUCCAUGUUGAGGCGUUUUCUCUUUCUUUUUUUUAUCCGUGGAUUCUGUCAUGAUUCGUAAUAAAAAGAUAGAAAAACAGACAAAAAAUAGAGAUAGACAAAGGAAUAAGAAAAAGUUGAGAAGAAGGAGACAAGCCAAGAGGAUUAAGAAUUAAUUGUUUCUUCGAUUUGAUGAAGGAGAGUGUAUCGUGAUUAUUGGAUUUGAGUAUGCGUUAUGAAAAUAAAUAAAAAGAAAAAUAGAGUUUAAUAAAAGUGAAUCUGAACUUGAAUUUUGAAAUUCUAAAAUAAAUAAAUUUUUGAAUGAUUUAAUAAAAAGACUUUUGGAUUUAGUUAGAGUUGUUAGUUAAUAUCUUUCUAGUUAUUGUUAGAUAAGGUUGAGGGCAUCUAAGAUAUUGCACAUAGAAAUUGUGUGCCUCAAGCAACAAGUGUUUGUGUGCCUCAAGCAACAAGUGUCUAAAUAUGCAAUUCCAAAGACAUAAUGUGUCCUAGAAUGUAAAAAAAUCUUUUUUCUUUCUUCGCAAUAUGUUUACAGCUUAAAUCCAUAUUAUAUUUGCCGUCUUCCAACAUUUCAAAUUUUGAGUGAAAUAGUUACUCUUUUAUGUUAUGUUCGAUCUUCCAGUUUCUCCACACCUUAUAUAUUAUCUUUGAGACUUAUGCCCACCAGUCAAUUGCACGUUAUAUUUCAAUAUUUUUUUCACAAUAACUGUUAUAAUGUAAGUCUCCGUAGAGAGUUAUGUAUUCAUGUCAUCAGUAUAUAUACACACGAUAUGCAUCUUUAUCUAGAGGAGGGGAUAUACACAAAUCAGAUACAUGAUUAUCUCUAAGUAUUGUAUCUUAUCUAACACUCCCCCUCAGUCAAAGAGGCAGGUUCACGAACGCUUAGACUGUUCCGAAACUCCAAAAAUAGAGGUGACGACAGGCCCUUGGUAAAUAUGUCAGCGAACUGUUGUGCAGUUGGUACAUGGAGCACUCGAAUCUCACCAAUUCCCACCUUUUCACGCACAAAGUGAAUGUCUAUUUCCACAUGCUUGGUACGUUGGUGCUUAACUGGGUUGGAAGACAUGUAGAUGGCUGAGAUAUUGUCGCAGUAGACUAAAGUGGCACGCUGGACCGGAAUUUUCAGUUCAAGUAAUAGCGUACGAAGCCACGUAGCUUCGGAGACAGCAUUCGCCACCCCUCGAUAUUCAGCUUCGGCGCUCGAUCGCAAGAUGACAUCUUGUCGUUUAGACGACCAGGACACAAGAUUAUCCCCAAGAAAAACACAAUAUCCUGACGUAGACCGUCUAGUGGAGGGACAGCCAGCCCAAUCAGCAUCCGAAUACGUGACCAUAUCAUUUUUUUUUGACUUGUACAGUCGCAGGCCGUGAGAAAUAGUACCUUUGACAUACCGAAGCACGCGUUUGAGGGCAUGUAGAUGAGACUCAAGAGGAUCAUGCAUGAAUAGGUACACUUGUUACACGGCAAAUGCGAUAUCUGGCCGUGUAAAUGUGAGAUAUUGUAGAGCCCCUGCGAGACUACGAUACAGCGAAGGGUCAGUGACCGGUGGGCUGUCAUCGGUGGCAAGUUUUGACCUUGUAUCUGCUGGUGUGAGACAUGGAUUGCAGUCAGUCAUGCCAGCACGAUGUAGAAUGUCCGCAGCAUAGUUUUGUUGUUGGAGAAACAGUCCUUGCUUAUCACGCUGCACAGAGAUUCCGAGAAAGUGAUGAAGCCGGCCCAAAUCAGUCAUGUCAAACUCAGCUUUGAGGGCAUUAAUGAUUCGGCUAGGGAGACUCUGUGUUGAUGCCGUGAGCACAAUGUCAUCCGCGUACAAUAGGAGAUAAGCCGUCUGCGUUUGAUGAGAGAGGAUGAACAGGGAAGCAUCCGACUUGGUCUGUGUGAAGCCAAUCUUCUCUGCGACAUUAGCAAAUCUAUUGUACCAGGUUCUGGGCGCUUGUUUGAGGCCAUAGAUAGCUCGCUGAAGCAGACACACAUGAUCAGGUGUAGAUGGAUCAACAAAACCAGGUGGUUGAUGCAUGUAGACGGUUUCUUCAAGAUCACCAUGAAGAAAUGCAUUCUUAACAUCAAGCUGGUGAAGAGGCCAGUCUCUAGCAGUCGCGACAUGUAGCACUGUUCUGAUGGUUUCUGGUUUGACAACAGGACUGAAAGUCUCUUCACAAUCAAUACCAGGUCGUUGAGACUUGCCAUUCGCAACCAGUCGCGACUUGUGCCGGUUUAGGGUGCCGUCUGCAUUGAACUUAUGCAUGUAAAGCCACAAACAGCGAAUAAUAUUAGUAGCAACAGGUCAUGGUACUAGUUUCCACGUUCCACGUUUAAUAUGAGCAUUGUACUCCUCUUUCAUAGAGGGAUUCCAGUUCGGAUCUUUAGCUGCUUGCACGUGAGAUACUGGUAAGGGAGAAAUUGUUGUGUCCGUAUGGAGACACAACAGAGCUCGUGGUUUGUAUAUACCACUUUUACUGCGAGUAGUCAUAGGGUGGUUGGAUUGAGAAGGUAGAGACACUGCAGGUGUAGUAGGAGAAGGCGAAGGACGACGUAUAAUAGGCGGAGGAGGUAAAGACUCAAGAGAGGGACUCACAGGUGUUUGAGAAGAAGUUGAGAAUGGAAAUAUAUUUUCAUCGAAUGUGACACGGCGGGAGAGUAUGAUUUUGUGAGAUUGUAAGUCAAGACAUAUGAACCCACGGUGAUCAGUCGGAUACCCAAGGAAGACGCAUGGGGUAGACCGCGGCGCCAGCUUGUGAACUGUUGUUGGCAGGAGAUUAGGGUAGCAGAGACAGCCAAACAUGCGGAGAUGCAUAUAGCGAGCUGGUGUUUUGAACAGCUUUGUGAUUGGUAUUUCAUUGCUGAUGGCGGAGGACGGUAAGAGGUUGAGAAGAUGUACUGCAGUGUGGAGAGCUUCCACCCAAAACGUGUCCGGCAUUGAGGCUUGUUGUAACAUCGUACGGACAAGGUUGUUUAUGGUGCGAAGCAUUCUUUCUGCACGGCCGUUUUGUUGCGAAGUGUAUGGACAGGAAAACCGAAAUGUGGUUCCUUGUGUUGCUAAGAAGUCCUUGAAGGCCUUGUUAUCAUACUCCCCACCGUUGUCACAUUGUAAUGCUUUGAUCGUGCUCUUAAAUUGAGUCUGCACAUAUCGAGUGAAAUGAAGAUACUUUGCAAAGGUAUCGCAUUUUCGAUGAAGAGGAUAAAUCCAAACAAAGUGUGAGUAUUGAUCAAGAAAAAGAAGAUAGUAUUUGAAACCAUUAACACUUAGGACAGGAGAGGUCCAAAUAUCAGAAUGUAUAAUGUCAAAAGGAUUAGAAACAAUGCUAUUAGAGGUAAAGAAAGGCAGUCUGGUAUGUUUACCAAGUUGACAUGCAUGACAAAGAUUUGUCAAGUCAGUCUUACUGAAACUAAGAGAAAGCGAUGAAAGGAUGCGUUGAAGAACUUGAUCACUUGGAUGACCUAAUCUUCGAUGCCACAGAGAAGAGGUAUUUUGAGAAGAAAACAAAGCCAGGUGAGGAGAAGAUUGCAACGGUGGAGUAAUAGGGUAGAGAGGUCCUUGACUAUUGCAUCGGAGCAAAGUUGUCCGAUUGUGAAGAUCCUUAUUAGAAAAACCAAAGUAUUCAAGUGAGCAAAAAUUAUCAGUAACAAAUUUUCGAACAGAGAUUAGAUUUUUAAUAAUAGAAGGACACACAAGAACAUUGCGAAGAUGAAAGGGACGAGAAUUAGAAGGAAUAACUCCCUGACCAAGUUUCGUGACUGGAGCAUACGAGCCGUUUCCGACUAUGACAGAAGGUAAGUUGCUCGUAUUAACAGUCGAACGAAGAGUACCUUAAUCUGAAGCUAUGUGAUUCGUCGCUCCUGUGUCGAAGUACCACGUCGCAUUGCUCGGAUCCUCAAAACUCAUGGUGUUGAACGCAUGUGUUAGGUUCGCAGGGAUCGUGUUAAGCAUCGGCUGCUGGACAGAUGGUGACACAAUGGAAUGAGCUUCAUUGGUCAUUCGAGCAUCAGGACGUGGACCUAGUAAACCAGGUUGCAUCAUACCAUUAUUCGGAACCAUUCGUUGCUGUCCCAUGGAAUAGUUAUUGAAGAAUGGCGGCUGUUGCUGAUAGAACGAUGACCAUUGCGGUUGUCCAAACUGUCAGUUCUGAGUGUAGAACGGCGAAUUCCAGUUAUUGAAGCGUCCACGCCCGCGAUUUUUGCGACCACCACGUCCACGACCACGGUUUCCACGAUGAGAGCCUCCAUUGUUGUUGUUGUUGUAGCUAUUGUUGUUGUUGGAGGGACCAUUGUUAGUGUUGCUGUUAUUCGAGUUUUGUUGCUGAGGUGCUGAAGUCGUAUACAAAACAUUCGGAGCAGAAGCAUUGUCAUUAUGAGUGACAUUAGGCUUGACAUGUUUAGAUAGUCGAUCUUCUUCCAUAGAUAGCAUAGAUCGAGUCUCAAGAAAGCUGGGAAAAGGCACUUUGUGCUUAAUGACAUUGAUUAUGUUGUCAAACUUCUCUGACAGCCCAUUGAGAAGAUGCAUGACUAAUGAUUUGUCUGGAACCGGUGAGUCCAGAUUGGCCAAGAGAUCCGACAGAGUCUUCAGUUUGUUGCAGUAGUCGUGGAUUGAGAGAUCUCCAAUGACAAUGGUGCGUAGCUCGUUUUCAAUUUGUAAAGCCCAUGCUUCUUUGUUGUCCCUGAAAAGAUUUUCAAUCUUUAACCAAAGAUCUCGAGCAGUACACUUCGUGGUGAGGACGGUUUCGAGAAUAGAAUCAGAUAUUGUUCCAUAGAUCCACAUCUUCACAAGUCCAUCGUGUUCUUUCUAUUCUUUCUCCGUAUCAGGAGUGGGUAAUAGAGACCCAUCGAUAUGACCAAGAACACCAAAGCUUAUGCAGUGAGUUUCAAAGAGUUCUCGCCACACUUGGUAGUUCAGUUUGAUCAUAUCCAGCUUUAUAGGGAUGUAUGCUUUUAUUUGAGAUAUGCCGAAAAGAUUGUCAUUGAAUGAAGUAACGACAGCCAUGGCGAGAAAAUAGAGAAGAAGAAGAGAAUAAAGAUUUUAGGAGAAGAAGAAGAAGAAAGCGGAGAGGAUCAAAGAGCUGGGUGGCUAGGUUAAGUUUCUGAUACCAUGUUAUAAUGUAAGUCUCCGUAGAGAGUUAUGUAUUCAUGUCAUCAGUAUAUAUACACACGAUAUGCAUCCUUAUCUAAAGGAGGUGAUAUACACAAAUCAGAUACAUGAUUAUCUCUAAGUAUCGUAUCUUAUCUAACAAUAACAAAAAUGGAAAAUAACGCUAAAGUAGUUAUGAUUAUCUCCACAUUGUUUAUGUUUUACUGAGAGUAGUAAAACAAUUCUCUCUGUUUGUAUAAACCAACAGUGCACAUUAUUAGAUUUUGGCUUUGGAAAGUUCUUAUGUUCCUGAAAAAAUGAAUAGAAGCCAGCAUAAAAAAUGCUUUGUACUAAACUACAGGAUGCUUGGUGCGCAAGAGUUUUCGUUAAACCAGAAAAUGUAGUGAGAAAAUUAGCUGAAUAACUUAUAACGGUGGAAUUGAUUGAAGACAUUAUGGUUUCUCUGAAAUUCAAAGUUUGUUAAAUAGAAUGAAGAGAAACAUGGAAAACAAAAGAAGCAAAAAGAAACAAAGAUAUGUAAACAUCUUUAAGCACAAUGAUCAAUUUCUAUAUGUAUGUGGUUGCUUCUCUUUUCAUCCUAGGCUGCUCCAAACUCUCCUGAGGUUUUAAAAUAGUUACUGAUCCACAUUUCUUCAUCAGCAUUAUCAUAUUUGUAUAUGUUCAUCAAGAACAGCAUGGAUCAUGAAAAAAAUUAGAAUCUAUAUGUGAACUGAUUAUAUAUCUCAACAACUUUGUGAAUCUAGAAAAUUAUUCAUAUAUUCAACACAUACAUAUGAGCGCAAGCAUAAUUUUUACAAAGAUAUGAGUGGAAGUUUUGGAGACUAUAGAACAUCUAAACUCAUGGGUAAUGAAAAAUCCACUAAAUCUCUCUAGUGUGCAACUUUUUUACAUGUACAUAGAUUUCCUAUCUUACCUUCUAGGGGAAGAUAAGUUGUAGAGUGAGAACGAACGAAUCCAUUGAUAAUACCAGAGUUGGAUGACACCUAUGUGAAACGUAGCGUGAUUCCUUGGUCUUUCGGGGUGGAAGGUCAGACCCUUAGCCCUGUUAUUCUAUUUCUCGAACAACGUCAGCGUUUUCCCAGUUCACAAAAACCAAAUCAAGACAAAUUGUUCAGUUCCUAGAAAACAAAAAUAAAAGGCAGAAAAGCAAAAAUGUAACCUAAAGUAUUUUAAUGGGUAUCAAAGAUCUUAUAUAAAUUAGGAUCCAUAGAAAGAAGAAGAGAAGAAAUAAUGACUCAACUCGCCGUAGAUCAUAAUAGUUCACUGGAGAAAGCAAAUAAUAGCAUCAUUACCGGAGAAGGGUUAAAUAUGAGAGAAAUAGAAAACAAUGAUAUGCAAGAAAUCUAUGUAACUUUCUGUUUCUUUUACCUAAA